UGCUUGGGUAGCUCAGUUGGUAGAGCUCUUUUGCCCCCGAAAGGCAAAGGUCCCGAGUUCGAAUCUCGGUCCGGCAC
rnacentral:tRNA from 1 species